rnacentral:rRNA from 1 species
ACGGGAGGCAGCAGUGGGGAAUAUUGGGCAAUGGGCGAAAGCCUGACCCAGCAACGCCGCGUGAGUGAAGAAGGCCCUCGGGUUGUAAAACUCUUUUACCAGGGACGAAACAAAUGACGGUACCUGGAGAAAAAGCAACGGCUAACUACGUGCCAGCAGCCGCGGUAAUACGUAGGUUGCAAGCGUUGUCCGGAUUUACUGGGUGUAAAGGGCGUGUAGGCGGAGAUGCAAGUCAGAUGUGAAAUCCCGGGGCUCAACCCCGGAACUGCAUUUGAAACUGUAUCCCUUGAGUAUCGGAGAGGCAAGCGGAAUUCCUAGUGUAGCGGUGAAAUGCGUAGAUAUUAGGAGGAACACCAGUGGCGAAGGCGGCUUGCUGGACGACAACUGACGCUGAGGCGCGAAAGCGUGGGGAGCAAACAGGAUUAGAUACCCGUA